UACGAACUGUGCGAACGUUAUUCGGAAUCACUGGGCUUAAAGGGUGCGUAGGCGGUUUGCUAAGUCAGGUGUGAAAGCCCUCGGCUCAACCGGGGAACAGCGCUUGAAACUAGCGGACUAGAGUGAGGUAGGGGUGUACGGAACUUCCAGUGGAGCGGUGAAAUGUGUAGAUAUUGGAAGGAACGCCGGCGGCGAAAGCGGUACACUGGGCCUUGUCUGACGCUGAGGCACGAAAGCCAGGGGAGUGAACGGG
rnacentral:rRNA from 1 species